rnacentral:rRNA from 1 species
UGAUACGCGAGGAACCUUACCUGGGCUCGAACGUAAGAUGACUGUAGGUGAAAGCUUACAUCUCUUCGGAGCAUUUUACGAGGUGCUGCAUGGUUGUCGUCAGCUCGUGCCGUGAGGUGUCGGGUUAAGUCCCAUAACGAGCGCAACCCCUACCUUUAGUUGCCAUCAGGUUAAGCUGGGGACUCUAAAGGAACUGCCUACGCAAGUAGUGAGGAAGGCGGGGAUGACGUCAAAUCAGCACGGCCCUUACGUCCAGGGCUACACACGUGCUACAAUGGCCGAUACAGAGGGCAGCUACCUGGUGACAGGAUGCAAAUCUCCAAAGUCGGUCUCAGUUCGGAUCGGAGUCUGCAACCCGACUCCGUGAAGUUGGAUUCGCUAGUAAUCGCGCAUCAGCCAUGGCGCGGUGAAUACGUUCCCGGGCCUU